rnacentral:rRNA from 1 species
CCUACGGGAGGCAGCAGUAAGGAAUAUUGGUCAAUGGACGAAAGUCUGAACCAGCCAUGCCGCGUGAAGGAUGAAGGCCCUCUGGGUUGUAAACUUCUUUUAUCUGGGACGAAAAAAGCUCAUUCUUGAGCACUUGACGGUACCAGAGGAAUAAGCACCGGCUAACUCCGUGCCAGCAGCCGCGGUAAUACGGAGGGUGCAAGCGUUAUCCGGAUUCACUGGGUUUAAAGGGUGCGUAGGUGGGUCUGUAAGUCAGUGGUGAAAUCUCCGGGCUUAACUCGGAAACUGCCAUUGAUACUAUAGGUCUUGAAUCAUCUGGAGGUAAGCGGAAUAUGUCAUGUAGCGGUGAAAUGCUUAGAUAUGACAUAGAACACCAAUUGCGAAGGCAGCUUACUACGGGUGUAUUGACACUGAGGCACGAAAGCGUGGGGAUCAAACAGGAUUAGAUACCCUGGUAGUCCACGCCCUAAACGAUGGAUACUCGACAUCAGCGAUACACUGUUGGUGUUNUGAGACGAAGACAUUAAGUAUCCCACCGUCGGAAGGUACGACCGCGAGGUUAGAACGUACGAACGGAAGUUAGACGGCGUGAGACGUUAGCCGACGGACGACGACGAGGGGAGGUUAGGG